AGGUGCGAUCAUACCAGCACUAAUGCACCGGAUCCAAUCCGAACUCCGCAGUUAAGCGUGCUUGGGCGAUAGUAGUACUAGGAUGGGUGACCUCCUCCUGGGAAGUCCUCGUGUUGCACUUC
rfam:Phaseolus vulgaris cultivar G19833 chromosome 6, whole genome shotgun sequence.